rnacentral:rRNA from 1 species
AGUGAACGCUGGCGGUAGGCCUAACACAUGCAAGUCGAACGGCAGCACAGUAAGAGCUUGCUCUUACGGGUGGCGAGUGGCGGACGGGUGAGGAAUACAUCGGAAUCUACUUUUUCGUGGGGGAUAACGUAGGGAAACUUACGCUAAUACCGCAUACGACCUACGGGUGAAAGCAGGGGAUCUUCGGACCUUGCGCGAUUGAAUGAGCCGAUGUCGGAUUAGCUAGUUGGCGGGGUAAAGGCCCACCAAGGCGACGAUCCGUAGCUGGUAUGAGAGGAUGAUCAGCCACACUGGAACUGAGACACGGUCCAGACUCCUACGGGAGGCAGCAGUGGGGAAUAUUGGACAAUGGGCGCAAGCCUGAUCCAGCCAUACCGCGUGAGUGAAGAAGGCCUUCGGGUUGUAAAGCCCUUUUGUUGGGAAAGAAAAGCAGCAGGUUAAUACCCCGCUGUUCUGACGGUACCCAAAGAAUAAGCACCGGCUAACUUCGUG